GCCCCUGUAGUCUAGCCCGGUCAAGGACUUCGCCCUCUCACGGCGAGAACGUGGGUUCAAAUCCCGCCGGGGGCG
rnacentral:tRNA from 2 species